AAACGGGCGGCCGCGCCUUUGCAUUUGACUUUAGCGCGCUUCGCAGUCGGCGACGUUGGCGUUUCUCGUUUCGUUUCGUUUUGUUCUUUUGCCUCUCGCAUUAGAACGCGCGCUGCCAUCGUCGCUGCCGGCGUCGCUGCUACAGUGCUUGUCGACGUCGACGUCGACGGUCGUAUUGGGCUUAAGCGAAUUUCAAAUUCGCCUGAACUUUUAUUCAACGUGUUGGUUUCGUCGCGUGAGCAACUCUGAAACUGAAAACAAGAAACAAAAUUCUAUCUAUCUGUACAAAAAACCAAAACAACAACAACAACAAACGAAGAACAAACAUUUAUUAAGAGUCCCCGAAAAUAAAAACAUUGAAUAUACCAAUACCAGCAACUCUACCCGUAACCGUAUCUGUUAAUCGUUAACCGUUAACCGUUAACCGUUCGUUAACCGCAAUCGUAACCAUAACCGUAACCGUGUAGCCGUAACCGUAAUCGUAGUCUUAGUUUGAUAUCCCAUUCGCGUCUAUAUCGUGUGUUCCGUAGCUGUUUCGAAAAUAUAUAUUUAAUUUUUUUUUUGUCGGAUUCCACUUCCAACAGUUACAGAGAGCUAUAUAUAGAUGCUGUAUCUGUUCAAAUAAGAGAAAAACCGAUUUAUAAGUAUAUAUACCUACAUAUAUUGUUAUAUAUCCGCCUGGAUCGUAUAGAUCGUACAAUAUUUUUUUUGAAGUGUUAUAAACCACCAAGUGCUACCAAAAAUGCCUUACUACAGCGUUACGCUUUAGUGUCACAAGUGCUACUUAUCGUUAAAUGCGAGCGACCAGUGUUGGUUAACAUCACGCAUACACACACGCAUCAACAGACAAUCAACGUUAGCCAACACUCGCAGUUCAGUUCUGCUUCAUCAAUCUCGACCACAAGUUCUACGUCUUCGCCAUCAUCAUCCGGCUCUUCAGCUGCAUUAACAGCCAAACGUUUUUACCUUGCGUGCAUUUUACGAGCGAGCGUGCGCGAUUCGUGUUGGUCGUCGGUUGCUGUCUCGGAUGUCGCUGAUAUUGUGGAUGUGGAUGUGGAAGUCAACUUUUGCCGGUGGCCAAAACAUUCAGCUGAAUACAACGCUGUGAGCAACACACGCUGGAAGCGCCGAUGGAACCGCGUCGCGACGCAGCGGCAACGGCAGCAGCGGUAGCGACAACAA
rnacentral:sRNA from 1 species